CGGGGGCCCGCACAAGCGGUGGAGCAUGUGGUUUAAUUCCAUGCAACGCGAAGAACCUUACCUACACUUGACAUGCUGAGAAGUUACUAGAGAUAGUUUCGUGCCUUUGGGAACUCAGACACAGGUGCUGCAUGGCUGUCGUCAGCUCGUGUCGUGAGAUGUUGGGUUAAGUCCCGCAACGAGCGCAACCCUUGUCCUUAGUUGCCAGCCUUAAGUUGGGCACUUUAAGGAGACUGCCGGUGACAAACCGGAGGAAGGUGGGGAGGACGUCAAGUCAUCAUGGCCCUUACGUGUAGGGUUACACACGUGCUACAAUGGCAUUUACAGAGGGAAGCGAGACAGUGAUGUGGAGCGGACCCCUUAAAGAAUGUGGUAGUCCGGAUUGGAGUCUGCAACUCG
rnacentral:rRNA from 1 species